rnacentral:rRNA from 1 species
CAGUAGCCGCGGUAAUACGAAGGGUGCAAGCGUUAAUCGGAAUUACUGGGCGUAAAGCGUGCGUAGGCGGUUUGUUAAGUCUGCUGUGAAAUCCCCGGGCUCAACCUGGGAAUGGCAGUGGAUACUGGCAAGCUAGAGUGUGUCAGAGGAUGGUGGAAUUCCCGGUGUAGCGGUGAAAUGCGUAGAGACCGGGAGGAACAUCAGUGGCGAAGGCGGCCAUCUGGGACAACACUGACGCUGAGGCACGAAAGCGUGGGGAGCAAACAGGAUUAGAUACCCCCGUAGUCCCUGUCUCUUAUAA